rnacentral:rRNA from 1 species
AACCAGACUCCUACGGGAGGCAGCAGUGGGGGAUAUUGGACAAUGGGGGAAACCCUGAUCCAGCGACGCCGCGUGAGUGAAGAAGUAUUUCGGUAUGUAAAGCUCUGUCAGCAGGGAAGAAAGAAAUGACGGUACCUGACCAAGAAGCCCCGGCUAACUACGUGCCAGCAGCCGCGGUAAUACGUAGGGGGCGAGCGUUAUCCGGAUUCACUGGGUGUAAAGGGAGCGUAGACGGCCAAGCAAGCCAGGGGUGAAAGCCCGGGGGCCAACCCCGGGACUGCCCUUGGAACUGCACGGCUGGAGUGCGGGAGGGGCAGGCGGAAUUCCUGGUGUAGCGGUGAAAUGCGUAGAUAUCAGGAGGAACACCGGCGGCGAAGGCGGCCUGCUGGACCGCGACUGACGUUGAGGCUCGAAAGCGUGGGGAGCGAACAGGAUUAGAUACCCUAGUAC